rnacentral:rRNA from 1 species
GAUGAACGCUGGCGGCGUGCUUAACACAUGCAAGUCGAACGGAAAGGCUCCUGCUUGCAGGGGUACUCGAGUGGCGAACGGGUGAGUAACACGUGGGUGAUCUGCCCUGCACUUCAGGAUAAGCCUGGGAAACUGGGUCUAAUACCGGAUAGGACGAUGGUUUGGAUGCCAUUGUGGAAAGUUUUUCGGUGUGGGAUGAGCUCGCGGCCUAUCAGCUUGUUGGUGGGGUAAUGGCCUACCAAGGCGUCGACGGGUAGCCGGCCUGAGAGGGUGUACGGCCACCUUGGGACUUAGAGACGGCCCAGACUCCUACGGGAGGCAGCAGUGGGGAAUAUUGCACAAUGGGCGCAAGCCUGAUGCAGCGACGCCGCGUGGGGGAUGACGGCCUUCGGGUUGUAAACUCCUUUCGCUAGGGACGAAGCGUUUUGUGACGGUACCUGGAGAAGAAGCACCGGCUAACUACGUG